UUUUUCACGGUCAAGAGUGUAGAAUUUGAAAGAUUGCUUGAAAUUGGAAAGAUGCAUUUAAUGCAUGAACGUGACAGCUUUAUGUUAUAUUAAAAUAAAUUUCAUCGUCGAUUAUUAUACUGUCUACAAUCUAUCUAGCAUAAAUAAUUUUUAUUUAAUCCAACUCAAUACGCGUGUUUUAGAUAAUGCCAGUUACACAUUCUUGGAUUCACAACAUUGCAUCAUGUUACACUUGAAUUUUUUACCGACCACGUGUCGCACUGGCACGAAACUUCUCGGACCACGCCCACUCCAAAGCAUUUUUUGUCUAGACGUUGUGUCGAAGGGAUAGGACACAAUUGUCGCGAUCCAAGAAGAUAAUUGAGCAAGGGCCAAGGACAUAAAGAAUGGUGCGUUCAUUGUGUCAUGAUCUGUUGCAUAAUUGUUCAAAUAUGUUCGUUUACCAGUUACAUAAAGACCAAAGUAAAUGGAUCUACAAAAUGCAUUUAAAAUAUUUCAUUCACAUCACCACGCUAUGAGAUUAUAAAUAAAUUUUUAUUGUCACGAUAUCUAUUUGUACGUUGUCCUUUCAUCUAUCGUCAAACACUUAUUUGGAGAUAGAAUCAAAAGUAAUCGUAGGUUGAGUUUUGUAAAAUACAGGGCACCUAGUGUAUAAUGUAAGAAAUAAAGAAUCAAGUUGAAAUAUUUAAAUGUAUAAAUUCGUUCAAUAGACGGUCAAUACUUUUGAGACUGAU